rnacentral:lncRNA from 1 species
GUAUUUUUUAUAAUUCUCACUUAAUUAUUGUAACAUAUUAACGUAUUGUUAAUGGGUACUUUCCAGAGAGCUUUGGUCCUCUCAGGGACAGUUUUCUGUGACAGAAAACCCCUUGUGUGAGGUCAUUUAUGAAGCACUGAGCCUAUACUCCUGACAAAAAUGUGACCCAUGGGAGAAAGAGAAACUGAUCCAAGAGAAUGUAAAUAAUUCUUAUGGUCAGCCCUUCAUCCUAAAACAAUUACUUUCCUUGUGUGUUAUACCAGAUGAAAAUUUAACAGAGGUUUUCAUGACAAUGUGGCAACAAAUGACCCAGAGUAAGGUGGAGUCCUCAAAGAUAUUACUGUGUGAUCCAAUCCCAAGUCACCCAAAGGACACAAACCUCAAACCCUGGACAACUCUGAUCAAGACUUGA